rnacentral:rRNA from 1 species
AUUGAACGCUGGCGGCAUGCCUUACACAUGCAAGUCGAGCGGCAGCGCGGGGGCAACCCUGCGGCGAGCGGCGGACGGGUGAGUAAUACAUCGGAACGUGUCCUUUCGUGGGGGAGUAACCAGUCGAAAGACUGGCUAAUACCGCAUGAGAUCUCACGAUGAAAGCGGGGGACCGCAAGGCCUCGCGCGAUUGGAGCGGCCGAUGUCGGAUUAGCUAGUUGGCGGGGUAAAAGGCCCACCAAGGCUACGAUCCGUAGCUGGUUUGAGAGAACGACCAGCCACACUGGGA